UUAAUCUCGGUCACCUCCGUGAGAAAAGAAGAGGAAAUGGGUGUGCAGAAAGCAGGGAGACACAAAGGAAGGGACUGGCAGGGCAAGGACACUGAAUUCACCUUUUUAAAACUGCCAUCAUUUUGCACAUGUGGAUGUUCUGUUACCUUGUACAGUUUUAAAAGCUUUUCUCUAAAAUAAUUUCCACUGUAAGGUCCCAGGAACCAGAGCACGGAGACAGAGCAGCAGACGCGGAGGUGGCUGAAACCCUUUUCUGUAAAAAUCAUCCAUGUAUGGUUUGUUUUUAUUUGUUUCCCAGGAUAUGAGCACUUUUCGAGGCACACAAUUGGUGCUAUCUCUCAACCUUUGUACUCAAUAUAAGGAUAUUUUUAGAAAAAAGGGUUUUAUAGGAAAAAGAAGAACAAGCAGCUCAGUGCUGGUCUGGGCCCAGAGCAGCAGUUCUGGAUCCUGCUGCUGUUGUGGGGGAAAUCCAGGCUGGGAAACAUCCCUACAUGGGAGAAAAUUCUCUGCAGAGCACUUGGAGAUCGAACAGCAAAAAAAACAUUACAGAAAAGCUUGUUUUCACCUGAAAACCCAACACGAUUUGCCAUCUGAGAAGUCCCAGAAAUUUUCUAGACAAAACUGUUUGUCUGAGAUUUCACAGUUAACUUUGGAAGGUCUGAAGUGGAUAAGCUUCUCAACUCGCAGAAAUUUGACUCCACUAUUUGUAAUACCAAAUUUUUUGAAGUCUCUCAGCCUUGAGAAUUAACUUGUCAACUGUGAAGAAGCUCCAAAUUUGUCCAUAAAUCAUUUUGCUGCAGGCUAAAAUUUGACAGGCUCUAGAACAGAGUCUCUGAUGUCUCCAGUUUAUGACUACAGCCAAUUUUCUCCAAAUUACACUGUACUGUGUUGUUACAUUGUCAAGCUCUUCUGUAAUCAGCUGCCUUCCUCCCUUCUGCUGGAGCAGUGGGGCUGGGACCCCUCUGGGCUGGAGCUGGGGAUCUCUGAGCUGGGAUCUCUGUUCUGGUGUACAAAAUGUGCCCUGGGAAGAUGGGAGAGGGUUUGUUCUGAGCUGUCGUGCUGCUACUUGUCCUCUCCCCCAACGAGAAGGCUUCUCCAGCAGCAAUUACAGCAUGGCUGCAAACAGGCUGGAAAGAGACAUGAUGUAAAAAUUCAAUUACUUCAAGCAUUUCUGGGCUAACACUUGGCUUUAUAUAAACUCAGAGACAAUCCUAUAAGGCACUCAGGGCAGAUUAUAGGUUUGGGCAAAGCUAGAAAAUUGCUGCCAUUAUAUUGUUAUUAUUAACACCUUGUAAUUAGCCCUAAGGAAUCCUGAAGUUCUCUCUCCUGAUUUGCCUUUAAUGAAGGAAAAUUGCUACCUUUGCAAGUUGGAUGGCGCCCGCUCUGAUUAGCCUUAAGUAUAUAGGACUAUUAUUUUGAAAAUGUUUGUUGUCAUGUGAAUAUUAGUGUUGCGUGGAAAGGGGGGAGGACAGGGGAGACCUUUUGUUUUUUUUGGCUCUGGGGACUCCCAUGGUCACUUUAGGGACGGUUGUCCCCUCCAAAAUGAAGGCUGGGAGCCUUGUCAGGGUGUCAGGAGCACAAGGAAUGAAUUCAGGAGGCUCCUGUGGCAAGGGCUGCCAGCUGCCCUACCUGCUGAUUGCAUGGGCU